AAGUCCCGCAAGGGAUUAGUAGAGUGGCAAACGGGUGAGUAACACGUGGGUGACCUGCCUUCGAGUGGGGGAUAACGUCCCGAAAGGGACGCUAAUACCGCAUGACAUCCUGCCUUUGAAGAGGUGGAGCUUAAAGCCGGGGAUCGCAAGACCUGGCGCUUGAAGAGGGGCCCGCGCCUGAUUAGCUAGUUGGUGAGGUAAUGGCUCACCAAGGCAUCGAUCAGUAUCCGGCCUGAGAGGGCGGACGGACACACUGGGACUGAGACACGGCCCAGACUCCUACGGGAGGCAGCAGUGGGGAAUUGUUCGCAAUGGGCGCAAGCCUGACGACGCAACGCCGCGUGGAGGAUGAAGAUCUUCGGG
rnacentral:rRNA from 1 species